ACAGUCCACUGAGGUUGGAGC
rnacentral:miRNA from 1 species